UACGUAGGGACCAAGCGUUGUUCGGAUUUACUGGGCGUAAAGGGCGCGUAGGCGGCGCGGUAAGUCACUUGUGAAAUCUCUGAGCUUAACUCAGAACGGUCAAGUGAUACUGCUGUGCUAGAGUGCGGAAGGGGCAAUCGGAAUUCCCGGUGUAGUGGUGGAAUGCGUAGACAUCGGGAAGAACACCAGUGGCGAAAGCGGCUCUCUGGGGGUUUUCUGACGCUGAGGCGCGAAAGCGUGGGGAGCGAACCGG
rnacentral:rRNA from 1 species